rnacentral:rRNA from 1 species
UACGGGGGGGCAAGCGUUGUUCGGAAUUACUGGGCGUAAAGGCUCGUAGGCGGCCAACUAAGUCAGACGUGAAAUCCCUCGGCUUAACCGGGGAACUGCGUCUGAUACUGGAUGGCUUGAAUCCGGGAGAGGGAUGUGGAAUUCCAGGUGUAGCGGUGAAAUGCGUAGAUAUCAGGAGGAACACCAAUGGCGAAGGCAGCACUCUGGGACGUGACUGACGCUGAGACGCGAAAGCGUGGGGAGCAAACAGG